CGUUACCGGAGACCACCACAGAAGAGGCACCGCUGACAGCAGCAAAGCGCAGGGUCCACGCCUUCCUGUCUCCAUAGCAGGUGAGCAGUCACCGCUUCGCCCAGGACCUCCCUGCAGCUCUGGUCACAGAGGCGUUCAUCCCUCCGUCAGGCUGGACCCAGCUCACUGGGGCUGGCGCCCAGCCCCCAGCAGAGGCCAGACACACCGUAUGUAACAGAUGAAGCCGAGAGAUAACAGCCCUCUAUUAGGAGAAUGCGGAAGGAGGGUUUCCUCGAGUGCCUGCCUCUGCGUGGUUGCUUAUCCUUCAGGUUAUUACACCAUCAAAAAGAAAACUAUUCAAGCCCUUGUUACAUACUUCUUUUCACCAAAUGCUUAAAAGCAUUUCCCUGAUAAAGUGUUACGGCUCUCAAAGUUUUUCAUAAAUACCUGUGUAUUUCUGAUGUGAAAUGGUGUUGGAGUUGUGGUCUAAGGGUUAACAAGGAUACUUCUAUCCAAGCACCCAAAUGACUAGGAAAAUCCAUGCGACUCAAGAAGAAUAAAUUCCUUAAAUGGUCACUACUGAUGGUAUAUUUUUAUUAAACUUAUGUAUGUUUGCUCAUAUUAUGUAUGUGCCAUGAGUACUGAGAAUUAUUUUUAACUUCUGCGUUGGAGAUUUAAUCCAAACCAAAGCUGAAUUGCUGCUAAAGACAAGUGCCCUUCAUUAGGAACAAACAGAAGAGUUUCUCUGGUUGCUUACCAUUCUGGUUACUGUUGCUUAUAGCGCCAUCUUCUUUCUCCGACUGGCUGUUACUACUGUUUGAGGCAGUCGGGGGAGGGGAUGGUGCUCGACUAGAAGCAGCACUUUCACUUUCAUCUAGAAGACGAUCCAUGUAAUCCCUUAAAGUGAAAUAAUAAUUACCUUCUUAUAUGUAAAAAGGUGCAAAUUAAAAGUAGGGUUAAAUUUAGAAAGCUUUAUUACCAAAUAUGUCCUAAUUUUCACUUGCAUUCAUUCCAGUGCCUCAUCUAUCCCACCAGGAUCUGAACAUUUAAAUGGAAAGCUCCUUUUGGUUACGCUUGUUGGAAAAUGCACAAAGGCUCUUAAACUAGAAAAUUUUACAGAACCUAGAAGAAGUUUUAAAACUGGCAAAACUACAGGCAAGUGCUCAGAGUGGCCCAACUAAAAUCAGGGGAUCUGUAAGUCAAGAGACAGGGAUGAUGCCAGUCAGAUGGAGUACAAGAGAAUUCCUGAAUAAACACAGAUUGGAAUUUUAAAGCUCCUCAAGACUCUGAUGGCUACAGCAAUACCUCAAAGACAA